CACAUUCAUUGUGAAAGCUGCGACAGUAGUAAUGGAAAAACAUGCAAAAAAUGUAUUUCCAAAUACAGUCUUCCAUUUAAGUUUGUGAAUUGCAUUUCCCACCUAACUGCAUUCACAUUUCAUUUUUUGUCGUUUGUAAUUUUUUUUCAUGUUUGUAACUGGACACCAGCUGUUUUUUUUGUUUGUUUUGUAUUUUAAUCUGUCUGCUCUCAUUAUUCAAGAGAAUCACAAAAGAAAUACUUUUUACCACAUCCGUCAUCAUCGAUGUUAUUGUUUAUAGAGAACUUUCCCUUUGUUUUAAGUUUGAACCCUUCCUUUGUCAUCAAGGUUUCCACUUUGCAUUUCAUCCCCAUCCCUUAGUGAGAAUGUCAGCUGACCUUAUAUGGGUGUUUGUUGGUGAGUAAUGCUCAUUUUGGUUUGCAAUAUCAAUUGUGACUGCAAUAAUUGAUCAGCCAAAAGUAUGGUGCUCACUUUCACUGUUUCACAGGAACCUCACCUAACCAUUAUAAGCCUUUUUUUGUCAUAAAAUAUAUAUAUGGCGGGAAACACUCAGGUGACUUUAAGCUCCAUUCUGAGACCCCCAAUUUGGUCAAAUUUCAAAAUUGUCCUAUAUGCAUGUGUGAUACAUCAUUGGAAAGCUUAAAUGUUUGAACAGGAGGGCAUUUUUUGACACCUUAAAAGUAGGUCAAAUCAGGUGAGUGAAAAAUAGACAUUUUUGACACCUUUGAAAUUUCCUUUACGUUAGUCAUUUUAAAAAAAAUUGUUUGGACACCCAUCCUGGUACAUAAUAAAUAACGAACACUUCAAGAUGAUUCCCCUUUGUCUACUCAAAGGGAUCCAUGGAUAGAAAAACUUGUGUUUUUAAAAGAUAAACGUUAUUAUGAGUUCAAAUAAUUUGAUAUUGAAACCCCUCUUGAUAUUUUCGUUUUUAUACCAUUGUUAAAAUUAGUUUACCUAGUAGGUCACCAUUGUUGUUGACGUCGCAGGGUGGUGACGUGACAUGGCUACGCUGCUGGCGUUUUGCCAACAUGUGCUACAUCGGCAAAACGUCCACAAGAGACCAAAUUGACAACCAAAGUACUACUGUGCGCUUUCAACUUGAUGCCUUAACAAAAAAAUUAAAUUAGUUAUAUCAAAUAAAGACGGUUUAAAUACGCUACGUGUCUAAUAUGGUCAACAGAUAAACACUCUGCUUUAAAGCUAUCACAUGAAAACACAAUGGUUAAAAGUAUGAGAAGGAAAUACAUGCAAAAAUAUUUUAGAGGCAAUGAAAAAGCAAUAGAAAACUCAAUAAAAACAAAAAUAGUGAGUAUUCACCGCUCUUAACUGAUGUGCGCAUGUGUGCCAAUGCAUGCUCAAACGUACUGAGCAUUGUGUAGACGUCUCGCCGUGUAAUGAAUUGCAGAACACCGGGCUUUCAGAGUAUGACUCUAGAGACAUAAACAUGUCGUCUGUUCAACGCUUUCCAUUUUAACCCGAGAGGAACGUGAAUGAGCCUGACAGCAAUGUCAAUAUUUCACAAAACAAGCAGCAAAAGCAAAAUGAACAGUAAAGACGGGAUGAGACGUGACAAGAGUGUAAAUAUGCUACGUGACUAAUGUGGUCAACAGAUCAACAAUCCGCUUUAAAGCUACCACAAGAAAACACAAUGCUUAAAAGAAUGAGAGGGAAACACUUGCAAAAAAUAUUUUGAGGCAACGAAAAGGUAAUAAGACUCAAUAAAAACACAAAUAGUUAGUACUCGCCACUUUUAAUCGAUGUGCGCAUUUGUUAGGAGGUCUCGCCACGUAGAAGGAAUUGCACUAACCCUGUGUUCUGCCAAAGUGUCCUACAUCGGCGAAACGUCUUUCAUGAGGCGAAUUUGACACCCGAAGUGCUACAGUGCGCUCUCAACUUGUUUUGUUUAGAUGCAUACAGGCAGAACAUACAAAAAAAAAUGCUUGAAGAAAGUACUUAAAUUUAGUUAUGUCAAAUAAAGACGGUUUAAAUACGCUACGUGACUAUUGUGGUCAACUGCAAAAAACAAUGGUUAAAAAUAUGAGAGGGAAAUACUGCAAAAGGUAUUUUUAAGGCAAUGAAAAAGUAAUAAAAAACUCCAAAACAAAAAUAGUGAGUACUCGCCACUUUUAACCAAUGUGCGCAUGCGUGUGGAUGCGCUGACGCUGAGCAACCAACAUUUCGUCGCGAUGGAAGGAAUUGCCAAACACCAGUAGUAUUCCUCGAGUGACAGUGACAAUCUAUGUCAUCACCGCGAGCGUCCAUAAAACAUGGCGCCCUCCGUAGGUCAAAACAUGCUCUAAAUAUUAAAGAUUUUUAAAUCAAUGGCAACAUUUUAUGUGUUUACAAUAAAAUAUUUUAAUAAAAGACAACAAUCGCAGCUUAUUAGAGCCUACAAGUCUUUAAGCCCGAGGUUCCCUUCAAAUCUUUGAUAAUCAAUAUGCAAGCACUAAGACGUGGGUGGAUGUACAAUAAUAAGUAAAAAAAAAAAUGGUGUGUGAGUAAAUGGAGAUUUAAUUCAGCCCUGUGUUGUAUUUUGUAAAUAAACAUGGCUAAACGGGAGUUAGCUGUAUAGUUAAUGAUAACUUUACUGCAUACAUUUUUUGAUUUGGCUUGAUUUUAUUCUGUGCCAAGAAAAAACAUUUCCAGGGGAAUUUUAUGGGUUAAAUUCCAAUACAAUAAUAUUUUAAUUUUUAUCAGUGGGCUUUUAAAAUAUUUUUUCACUUAUGAUUAAAGAAUGUGAAUGCAUGACUGCUUUGACUAAGAAUACAAGGCUCCAUAUGCAUAAAAGGAACAUAUAAAUGUGAGUACAUAACACUAUGUAUUUUUCGUAUUUUGCCUUGAAGCCUAGGAGCUAGGCUGUAUGAUUUAAGCAUUUAAUGUAUGUAAUACAUAAUAUAUCAUCUCAUAAUAAGCAAUCCAAACAGCAACAAGGGUCGAAAAGAUAAUGGAUAGCAUGCUAGUCAGUAAGCCUGCCCUGUGCAUAAUUCUCGCGCUAGCGUUUGACUGCAGUAUACGUCUUUUUGUGGCUUUCCGGUAUGUCUUGGUGCAAGCAUGAACGAGCAUCGUUAAAGACACCCUAAUUUUAACGAGAUAUUAUCGCGUACCUACUGUAACUUGUUUCAAUCCAAAAACUCCAUGUAGCAUGUAUCACCAAGUGUCAAGACACAGCUGUGAAUGGCCAAAGUCCGACUUUUUGGGGAUUUUAUGGCUGAAACACAGUAAUACAGGGUCGCGACACAAAAGUCAUGGACAAAAAGGAGUGGUUGAGAUUUUCUUUUUCAAAUAUUUACCGUUUUAAAUGGUUUGUUCCCAAUUUUUCUUUGUUUGGAUUGAUUAUUUAUCAUCUAAAAUAUCGGGGAAAAUACGACAGUAACAAAAAAAAUACAAUUAAGCGGUAGCUUUGAGGUAGAUAUACGUGAUCUAUUUACAGACAGUAUUUUUUUCAUUGAAUGUAAUUUGUUUAAAAGUUUAAAAUAUACAAGUGAAUAAUUUAAGUGUUUUUUUAAAAACUGAAUACUAGACAUAAAUUAAUUAUUCUAAGCUAAAAAUGAUAGACAUUUCGAAUAAUAUAAUUAGUUACCUUCUUUUUAUGGCUGGGUUGGUACAAAUGCAGUUGCGCAAUGUCUGUAAAUGGGGGUCCCCAGGGUAAAACGGACAAAUUAAAAAUAGUCCUGGGGCACAAUGCACCAUGAAACUGCUAUGGCAGCAUAUAGACAUAUUGUUCUAUCAAACACAACAGUUCUUUUGGCUUAAAAAAACAUCAGUUCAUUUUGAAGAGUGGUGCAAGAGCAGAAAUUGAUUUUUCAGCCUUGUGUGUUUUCCAAUGUGUAUAUCCAUAUUUCCAAGUUAGUGAGAUACUAUUCUAUCCUAUCUUAGUCUCUUCGAUUCCUCCUUUUUGCAAGCCUCUUCAUCUGUAUCUCAGGCCUGAUUGUAAGAUAUUAUUAAACCUUUGUUGGCCAUCUACCACACUUGCCCACCAAAGCUAACCGAGUACAUGAGGGGCGUAAUAAUCAAAUAGAAAUAUCUAAACAUAUAGCUAUGUAGAAUACAGAAUACAAAGUGGUAAAAGUGGGAUUUGACAGGUGUGAGAACCCUAAAAUUCGGUGUUGCGGCACGGUAAGGAAAAUUAUAUACGUGUAUUCUCAAAAGAGAAAUAAAGGUCGAAUUGACAUGAAAAACACACAUGGGAAUCUUACCUGCCUAACUAAUGCAUAGAAACCGCAAACUAACUGCGUAGAACAGCGAUUUUUGCAAAGACUAAAGUGAAAUCCAAAACUAUAUAGUCACACUGGUGAGGGGAAACAAGACUUCUUUUUGCUCUGUUUUCUUCAUGCUCCUCCAUGUUAAACAAUUAAAUUAUCAGAUAUUAACACUUAUAUUAGGUUUUCUAGCAAUUACAGUGUAAUAACGUUUGUAACAUUCAUAACAAUCCCGCUAGUCUCAGUCUUAGCCUCUACUUUUAAGCUAACUGGGAUAACCAUUAAUGUUUUGCCAUUACACAAGGCCAUGUAAAGCAGCUAGCCAUUUUGAAAUUGAAAUUCUUCUUAUUGGCCUGAUGAAUUGUUGAAUAUUACAGCACUUCAUUCACUUCACUUCAGCACACAUUGACCGUUAUUCGCUCCCUUUGGUUUAAUCACCGUUUCAGACUCCCACGGAAACAUUCAAACCAUUCAACCGAACACCGGUGGUUUGACUGACUCGGUCGAUGUUGUGUGUUAAAAAAGGCGGUGCCAGUAGAGGGUAAUGCUGCCUUUUGAGUUGUUGAGCAUAACAGCGCCUACAAUACCAUGCAGACUGUCCAUGCAAAAAUAAUAUAUAGUCUGUUGCACUACCUUUAUAUGCAGUCAAUGGGCACUACUUCCAGCUUGAAUUGAAUUAUUUGUUUACUUGACUAAGGAGGUGGAGCUGGGCUCUGAGGUGGUGGAGCUCGACUCCGAGGUGGUGGAGAUGGGCUCCGGAGGCUCCGUAGGGGACCGGCCCACUUUAACCCCAAAGUGUACAGUAGAACAGUACAGUAUUACUAUCAAUAACAGUGCCGUGUGAGUGGACUGGGCGCCGGGCGUCACAUAAGAAAUGUCGAGCUUGGCAUUGAGCUGGCAGCGGUGGCUACUUUUCUACACCCGUAUAGAACACUUUGAGGCAGUUAAUCAUUCAGUAUGGUGUUAAAGUGUCUCAAAACCUUUGACCACUGGUGUACUCGCAUACGUUUGUCCACAGUGAAUCGCUGGAUUUGACCCACAAACACGUCCCACCGACGUGACGAGCAGAGAAAUCCUUCCCUAUAUGAGACUGCAGGGUCUGAGCAUGGACAGCGGACAACAGUCAUACUCUAUAUCAGUGCUUCUCAAUUAUUUUCUGUUACGCCCCCCCAAGGAAGACGUAAAUGUUUAGCGCCCCCCCCAACUCUCUGCCGCCACUGUAAAUAGUAUCAUUUGUCUAUAAUAUUACUAUUAUAAGUACGCUUCAGCCUAAUAUUGUGUCCUUUUUUUCUAUUACAGAAAAAAAGUAACAAAGAUCAACUUAUAAUAAAGUAUAACUUUAUUAACAUUGUUUUGCUUAUAACAGAAAAGACUUAACGCGCAUCAAUUUGCCUGAAGUAAAAAAAAAAAAAAGUUCACAUCCAAACUGUAAAAAUACACUCAAGGUACAUUUUUGACCAUUUGAUACUGAAAAAUAAAAUGUAAUAAAAUCAGUAAAUAAUAACAAAUUCAAAUUGAUUAGAAACAUUUACUCUUCAGGACAACAUGCCAAAAAAUUUGACCGAAAAAAACAAAACUGAAUAGAAGGGGGCGAAAGUGUCUUUGGACAGAAGGAUAGUUUUUAUUUUCACUGAUUCACCACAGUGCUCACUGGUUUACAGAUAACACUGACAAAGCGGGACGAUUGUGACAAUUGGCAAUAUUCGGCACGUUUUCGCUGAAAAACAAUCAAGCGGCUUAUCAAUGAGAUUGAAGUCCAAUGUCUUUAAGUGGCGUCUUAACUGAUUUGGCUUCAGACUCUCCGCUAUAAUCAUUUUUAGACUCAGUAAACAGUGGUCUUUCCUCAUUUCCCACUAUAUUAAAAGUCAAAGCCAAAAGGCAAACAAGAGGCCCGCAAAAAAAGCGCAUUCUCGGCGGCCGAGGGAGAACCGUAGGUGAGGGCGGUGAUCGUGACGAUCCCAAGCCGAAAACGACACUUCUCGGCCAGACACGUGAGAAACGGAGAAGACAGUGGGUCGCUGCGUGAGUCCAGCUCUGCAUGAGUCUCUUCCGUGUGCACUUGCUUAUUUCAAAAAUACUGCACGUACUUUGAAAAUGAGAGCGCCACUGCCACCCACGGAGUGGAUGUGCAAGUACACUUUAUUCUAGUUCGGCAAAAAAAAAAAAAAAAAAAAAGCAUGUUCCCCGAGGUCACUCGCGCCACCCCUGGCAUCGCUCUGCGCCCCCCUGGGGGGGCGCGCCCCACCAUUUGAGAAGUACUGCUCUAUAUCAACGUAGAAUAGUGGCUGCAAGUAGAGACAGUCGAACUCCACUGGUUGACUGCCGGACACUCUAGGCCAGGGGUCGGCAACCUAUGACACGCGUGUCAGCACUGGCACGCGAAGGGUUAACCAGUGACACGCGAGGGCAUGGCAAAAAAAAAAAAAAAAAAAAAAUGCGUGUUAUGUUCAUUGUCGGUUGUAGCUUUAUCACUUGCUCAAGCGCCCCAUCUUGUGGCCGUUUUAUUUAUUGGUUCUAAAACAGUAGAAGAAAAAUGCAAAUAGGAAGUUCUUCAAAUGGGAUUCAGUGUGUUACAUGGCAGCUCCACUCACAACUUGAGUGGCAUUUGUGUUCUUUAGAGCAACGUCUGUGAGUAUUUUGUUGUCAAAUUGAGAAUUACACUCUUUAUAUUGUCUUUAGAUUGCAUGUUUGAGGGGAAAUGUGUUUGAUAUUUCUAAUUAAGAACUACUGAAUACAGGCUAAUUGUGUUUGCGUAUAUGGAUGGCAUUUUGUUAUUUGCAGCAUUGUUGCUGAUUGCAUGUAUUUUUUCAUUGUUUUAGUUUCAUAAAAAAGAAAAGAGACACAUAAAGGAUUACUGAAAACAUCCGGAGUGUGAACCUUUUCAUGUUUAGCUGUUUGGAUAGCGGAAGCGAGCCCAUUUACAAUGUGCCUUUUUACCGGAAAUUAAGGCAUUUUCAGUUGUGCGCCCUGUUAUUUAGGGGCUUUACGGGACCGCCCCUCUCACCCACUCUGCCUGUGGCGUUAUAUGCGAGCAAUAAUUGAUUUUGAGCACACCUCCAGCUCUUCCCCAAUUUCUCGACUCCUGCGCUUGUCGGAUUUUUUUUCUCUGCGCGUUUAAUUCAGCCCACGCUACUAACAUGUCACGAAGCCGACCAAUCAGAGAGCUGGCGGAAGUACACUGUGUUACCAAUUGCACUUUUUGGUAACUGCAACUCUGCACCGUAGGGUGUAGUGGACAGGCGAUUAACGUGGCUUGUUGUCGUCGAUUCGCCCGGUGCUUAUUACUUCAGAGAGGUGGUGAUGUGUAUAAAAACACAGUGACACGUUGGAUGGUAUUUUGCUGGAGACUUUUAUUAACAAAACUAAAACCAGCAUGGGACACAGCCACUUUUCAUGGCGCUCUUCGCACAACUCUCUCUCAACACCUUGCUCCCUGCCUCUCUUUUUCUUACGCUUAACUUGUAAGCUGGUCAUACUGUAGGGGACAGCGGCCCCUUGGGGGUGCCGGUAACAACUGGUUGGCUGGUUACUUCCGCUUGCUCUGUGCAUUAUGCCUCGGGAGCGUUGUGUGUGUGUCGCAUAACAAGUGUCAAACGCAACUACGAGACGAAACAUGAAAUUCAUGGAAAACAGGGCCAGGGAUCACAUUAAGGUAGUCAUCUUUUGUAUUUGUUAUAUAAAAUCUAAAAUAGUGCAUAGAAUUCACUGUUAGUGAAAAAGACAAAGUAGUCGCCUGACUUUGAAGGUUAAAACAGCCCGCUCUGUACUGUGAGAGACCUGCACUGAGAAUCACGCUUGUUCCCCUUUUCUUGCUGGGUUGUGUGUGUGUGUGAUAUGUUUACAUAAGAUGAUGCUCAAGUUUUGAUAUUUUCUAAAAUAUACUUUUAUUUUUUAGUUAUUUGUUAAAGAAGAAUGGUAGUUGUAAGAUUUCAACGUAUGUUCAUGUUGUUUUCUUUGGAGUAAAAUUACAGCUCUGUUGGAUAUAAAAAUUCGGAUGUGCGUCAUUAAUCUUGGUGUGGCACACUGAUUGACAAGAAAAUUUGAAAGUGGCACGCCACACCAAAAAGGUUGCUGACCCCUGCUCUAGGCUGUAUUGGCUGAACGAUAUUGUGUUAUGAAAUUUGUCAAAAUUGAGGGUCUCAGAGCGGAACUUCAAGUCAACUGAAUGUUUUCUGCCAUAUAUAUAUAUGUUGCUAAUUAGUACCCAAAAAAGUUUCUACUCAUGGUCUCCAUUCAUUUUUAAAAUAAUUGCCGUUUUUGUCUCGUUUUUUUUUUGUUUGUUUGUUUUUUUACUGUGGCAUAGUGAUAGUUACAUGGCGAACUAGGAUUUGCAGUGGGUGCAGUGGUUUUUGGUCACGUGGACCAAUAGGAGCCGAGUCCUGUUGCCGUGGUUUCAGAUAAUACACAAAAGGGCGUCAACCGCAUCCAGCACCAAUACAAGUGAAGACGACCAAAAGAAAGAAAAGGAAACAGCCUUCCAAACUUACUCAAAAGGGAUCCAAACGAUGCUAUAUGCAUCCCUCACCUGUCCAGGGCGAAGACGUGCAGGAAUUUAGAUGAAAACGGUGGGAAUUCUGCGGCAGACAAUGGCUUUCUCUGCAGGGUCCUUCUAAGGAUCUUGCUGAAAAUGAUCAACAUUGCGUCGACAUGGAUUUUGACGACAUUGACAUUGUCUGCAGGCCGGUUGCAGAAGGCUGCUGAGUUGAAGGAUGACACCGGUGUGCUUUUGCACAUCAAAGAAAAAGACCGUGCGGUAGCACAGGACCUGUUACGCACAGUACACAAAGUUUUUUUCAAAGCCUAUGGAAACAAGUACUGCAACUUGAGAUGAAUUAACUGACACCCUUCACUGACGGCUACAAUUUCUUCUGUGAGACCGGUAUCUGUCAAAGGAUUACAGUUGGAGGAAGUGCUGCGGAUGGACAAGCUACAAAAGACAUUUGUGAAGAAUCAAGUAGAUCUUGAUGCUUCAGAAUACAGGCAGGAUCAAUACUGUAAGUCUCCAGAAAGAUUUUACAGUACCUACAGGAGUAGGCAACAGAACGAGGAUUGUUGAUGUCUCUAAGGUCUCAGGUCUCAGCAGCUCUUGGCACAAGUGUGUGUUCAGCACUCAUUGGCAUCCAUACAUUCACAGGUUGUGACUCGACCAGAGCCUUUUAUGGCAAAGGCAAAAAAACAAACACUUUUUGUUGCACGUCCAAAAGAAGAAUACCUGACUCGGUUUACAAAGCUGUGCAGCAGUUUUAAAUUUGAACUACAGACAUUUAACAUGCUUGGUAAAUACUGUAUGUGUGGCACCUGUAUUUAACAUGCUAGGUAAUUAUGUGUGGCACCUGUAUUGCCAGGCAUCUGCCAGAAAUGUAAAUGAUGCCUGAUACAAAUCAUUCUGUAUUGCCUCAUCUGCCUUGUCAGAACUCUUUCUUCCCCCAGAAAGUGAUGCCCUGUACCAACAUUGCAGGAGAGCAAACUACCAAGCAGCAAUUCUGAAACAUUGUUUGAAAGGGUAAAAUGUGUGCCCCUUCACCCAUUGAGGAUGGGCAGUUGGCAGUGACAUGGAUGAAUACAAAUACUGCCCCUGCAGGUAGUCCUGUAUGUAUGUCUGCAAAACUGUCUCUUACAAACUUAUGUCAGUGUCUGCCAAGCAUGCUAAAAUGUUUCAAAAGAAACAGGACAGAUUGGUAUGGGAUGAUGACUUUGAUGAAAGCGAUAGGAGUAAUAUACACACAAUGUCAUCAUCUACAGCCCCCCCCCCCCCCCAUUUGUAUGUGUAAUCUGUAUUUCCAUAUUCAGAGACACUGCCAUAUUAAAAUAAAGGUUUAUAACACACUUGUGAAUGAUUCAAACCUUUUGUGUAUUUUGUUUUUUGGUCUUACUCUAUUUUUGCCAUGAUUCAGAUUUAGCAGGACUUUGUAGCAAUUUGGUUGAUUUUCAGCCAUUUAUGAUUAUGAUGUGCAUUUUGUAUUGUAUAUCUUUCAUUACAUAGUAGGUUGUCACGUUUAAUAUAUAACACAUAAGCGUUGGGCUAAAUUUAAUCAAAAUUUAAUUGUGCUAGGUUGAUAUCACUUAUGUUGGAGCGAUUCCUUCAAGGAAUUCGCUGCAUUUGUCACUCUGAAUUCACCUUUGUGUACACAUAAGCACCAAUACUUGUUUGAAAUAUUUGGCAGAUGUGUUUGACAUUUGAUAAAUAUCUUGUGUUGCCAGAAUCAAUAUAGCACUUAAAACAAGCAAAAGCAGCAGCACCAGAUUUUCGUUUUUGUGUACUGACAUCAAGAUACAAAUAUUACAUAAUAAUGAUAAUAAUAUAUAACACUGAUUCUUGAGAAUUUGCCAAAAACAUGUCUCACCUGGAAAAAUGCUUAUUCUGUUUGAAAAUAAUUACAUUUUCACAAAGAACAUGAAUCAAAUGUAUAAUCAGAGUGUUUUAUACACAUAUGUAACAGGCUUUUAUUGGUGGACUAUAAAUUUCAAUAAUUUUGUGACAUUAUGCUGGCCCAUUGCCUUCAAAAUCAGCUGUCCCCCGAUGGGAGCUUUUCUUUUCAAUUUGAUUAAGAAAACUAAAAGGAAUUAUGAAAUUUAAUAAUAACCUUACCAGAUUAAAAAGUUUUUGUUAUGUUUAUAAAAAACUACAAAAAGUGAAUUUUGAAAAAAAUUAACCAUUUUCUGAUUGAUCAAAAUGUGUCCCUCACCAACUGUUCCUACCGUCAGAUUUUUUGUAAAAUCAAUAAAAUCAGGCAAGUACAAGGUCCACUACAUUCCUGAGGACCUCUUUUCAAACCUUCACUUCUUCUUCCUGGUUUAAGAUCACUCAAGCUCCCAUAAGUUUGCCAUUUUCUCUAAAACCUGUAUAUAUUCUUUUAAACUGCUUCUGUUGCGACCAUAACAUGUCACCACCGUAUCUUUUGAGUAUAGAAAAAAAAAAAAUAAUAAUAACAUAAAUGUUUAAUAUUUAAGAAGAGGUUUGUGGCAGCUAGCAAGAGAGUGAAAACAAGAUAGCUAAUGUGGACUACCUCUGCAUAGCAUGGAAAAGACUAGAUUUUUGUCACUACCGUCAAAUGUCACUACCGUCAGACUUUCUGACGGUGGUGACAUACAGACUGACGGUAGUGACGAAAACGUCCAAAUGGUCCCUAAGGAAGGAUUAAAUAUGAUUUGCUGACCACAAUUAGUACAAUUAUAGCAUACCUGUUAAGUUGUAGAAAUUGCAAAUAGGGAGAUUUCUGUUUGCCAACCCCGAUGAUGCGCGCGCGCGCGACAAUCGCUAAGACAAAAUGCAACCAUUUUUUUUCAAGUUCAUUUUGGUCACAACACUUGUGUAAAAAUUAACUACACUGUCAAAGAACCUCUUUUUGGUGGCAUCAGAGAUAGUCUUCAACUUGCUCCAUGUAUUGUCUGGCAUCAUGUGAUACGGCUAUGUUGCCUGUGUCAUGCCAGUUCUCCUUGUUCCUGUAAUCAACAUCUAGGAUAUCCUCAGCUUUCCUGAUCACAUCCAUUUGCACAAAUUUGGACAUCAGCUUCCUCAGCAGCCUCUUCAUCUCAUCAACCAUCACUCCAAUUAGGGUUUCAUCAGACUAAAUCAGCAAGAUUAAAAACAUUAAUUACAUCAUUUAGAAAAUUAAUCAUAUUUGUUUUUAAAAGUAUCUUUGUCAUGGCAGUUUUUUAAUUGAAUUGUAACCUAGAAUUGAAACUUUAUAUUUUUUGUUUCAGCACAGUAAUAAUGAUAUAAUGUAAUAAAGUGUAUAGUAUACACUUUAGCUUUAGCAUAAUAGCGAAUCUAAAUUAUUAAACUUCAAGUAAGUAACGAUACGCUUUCUCACUUAAAUUCAUAUAUUGUGGGGGUAGGACCGCAGUGGUUUAAUAUUCCAUGAUGUUUGAUCCACGAAAACACAGAGUGAAGCAGCGACUUCUUCCUCGUCAUCGUUCUCCCAUCAUUAGCUCUAAUACUAUUAGCAUUAGGCUAGUUAGCUAUCGCUGGCAGGUAAGACUUACGGCAAUUACGUUGACGAACGUUGUUUUUCCCGAAUACUGGAGGCCGACCAGGGUCAGCUCCAUCUCUUCCUUCCAAAAUAAAGACUUGAACCAGUCUAAAAGCCGGUUUAUUAGUGCCAGCAUCUUGGGAAGUCGGUGGUGCUUCGCCUCUUCCCUCCCUGUCAGAUGUUUGGUUGGGCUUUUCCAGCUCUGAAGGGGAGGGAGGGCAGGGAAGUCGGAGACAGCCAGGCUAUUCGUUGUUGGUCACUUUCCGAAUCGGGCCGAAUGGUAUCGUUACAAAACGGUGACAAACAAAAACGUAAAAAAAAAAAAAAAAAUUGAGAUUUUUGGAAAAUCGGGAGAUUUGGCUUUCUAAUCGUGAGGCGUGAGCAUUGGGGUCAAAAUCGGGAGUCUCCCGACCAAAUCGUGAAACUUAACAGGUAUGUUAUAGUUUUAAUUUUUUAUCUAUCUUUAUCUGUAUUUGUGUAUGAGAAUAGCAGAGUUUCUUCAUUUCCUUUAUAACGUUGAUACAAUUCACUUCUGGUCAGAUGGCCCCAGCAAGCAGUAUAAAAACAACAAAAAAAACUUCACUUCUUUGCAGUGUCCCUCCAACUCUAGAUUUCCAGAGCACCACCUGGAACUUCUUCCCCACCUCACAUGGAAAGGGAGCCCCAGACGGGGUUGGAGGAACUGUGAAAAAGGCUGCAGAUAGCCUUAUACUGAGUGGAAAGGACAUUGUGGAUGGCAGUGUCUUUCAUGAGAUGGUUGGGAGGAGUCUGUGCAGUACCAAGGCCUUCAUUAUCACAUAAGCUGUCAUGCAACCUCUGUGCAGUAUCAAGGCCUUCAUUAUCACAUAAGCUGUCAUGCAACCAUAUGAUGCACUCCUAAGUCAGACACUAAAAGCUGUACCUACCACUCGGAUAAUCCAUCAGGUCAUCCCAACAAAUCAAAAAGACUUUGGGAUCAAAUGCAGGUUGCUGUCCUGUUUCUCCAGUGAACCAAAGAUUUGCGAAUGUUUCAGCCCUACGACAUGCCAGUUGAAGGCCAGCAUACCCAGGGUCGAGGAUGACUGUGGCCCACCGCAAAAGAAAAAGAAAAGUCCUCUGGCAAUGCUCAUGGAGUAGAUGGAGCAGGAAGAGGAAAGCGAGCCACAGGAAGUGGAGGAAGAUGAAACACCAACCAGCAGGGUUCCACUUCCAGAUGGGACUGUAGCCGAUCUAUCUGUUGAUAAAGUUCAUUGCGGAGAUUGGCUUGCAGUGAUUUAUGACAAGAACUGGUGGUUGGGAAAGGCUGUAAUGCUGGAUGCUCAGCAUGAAGAUGUACAGGUGGAAUUCUACCAUCCUCAUGGGCCUAAUCCACAAUUCAGUCCAAGACAGGGAAAAGGGAGAAGAAAUGUGUGCUUCAUACCAUUUGAACAUAUUCUGGUCAAACUCGUGGAACCAUCUGCACCAGGUCGGUCAAGCAGAAGAAGGGAGAUAUACAGCCUGUCUAAUGAAGUCAUGGACUACAUAGAGGAGAAAGACGUACAUUAUAGGGGCUGACAAAGCUGAAUGAGUGUUGGAAUGAUAAAGUUGAUGUCUUCUCUCCAAUAAGACUAUAUGUUCAAUACACAGUUUAUAUGCACUAGAUGGCAGUUUACAAUGUCAUGACUUGACAUGACAUUAUUUUCCAAUGUUAAUUGAUUAUUCUUGUCUGUGAUUUGAUUAUUUUUUUCUUUGAUUCUUCCCUAUGUUGCCAAUCAAAUAUGUAUCACAGUGAUCAUACUUGUUCUUUUUUUUUGCAAAUUGUUAAAUAAAGUUGUAAAACAAAAAAGCAUGACUGGUGGUUUAUAUUAUGGAAUUAUAUGUGAAAAUGGAGGGCACUGUCACCACAGUCAGAUAUGUGUCACCACCGUCAGGUCCAAUGUCAGAGGGACUUUUAUUUUCUUUAAAUACAUAUGUUUGUAAUUUGUUACUUCAGUGCUCCUGGGUUAUAGAGGUAACAUUCUAUUUUAUUAGAGAAAUGUGUUUUUAGAUUAAAAAAAACCAACCCAUUGACAUAUUUAAGUGAAAAGUAAACAUUGGAUUAUGUAAGAUCUUAAAGAGGAGUAUACUUGAAACAGUAUAAAAAAUAAAGGAAAGUCAAUAUUUACCAUUUAGCACCAUAUAUGUGUAGUUAUAAUGAAAGGCAUUGGUUUGAAAGCUCCAAAUUGGUAUUGGACGAGAAAAAUAAAAAUAAAUGAGCUUUCGUAUUGUGUCUGACGGUAGUGACAAGUGCAACGCAGUGACUCAAAAAGCAUCUAUUUUAUGAAAAAGGUAAAAAUUGGGGAGCUGACACCGGUACGUUGCUGAACAGCUAAGACAUUGGUCUUUAAUAACAUGACUUCAGAUUUUGCAAUCAAACACCAACGCCAUGGAAAAGGGGCCCAUGACAAAUGCAUACCUUACCACCUCAGUUGCACAACAGCAAUUCAUAAUUAAUAUUACAGAAAGUGAAGAUAUUGUUUCCUUAAUGUCUUAUCCUCUUAACCUUGCUUUACAAUUUAAAAUCAUUUAUUUGUACAACUAUCGAUUUACUUGA